UGAGGAAUUUUCCGCAAUGGGCGCAAGCCUGACGGAGCAAUACCGCGUGGAGGAUGACGGACCGUGGUUCGUAAACUCCUUUUCUCAGAGAAGAAGAUCUGACGGUAUCUGAGGAAUAAGCCCCGGCUAACUCUGUGCCAGCAGCCGCGGUAAUACAGGGGGGGCAAGCGUUAUCCGGAAUGAUUGGGCGUAAAGGGUCUGUAGGUGGUCUAUGAAGUUCAAUGUUAAAAACCAGGGCUCAACCCUGGGAAGGCAUUGAAGUACUCAUAGACUAGAGUGCGGUAGGGGUAGAGGGAACUCCGCGUGGAGCGGUGAAAUGCGUAGAGAUGCGGAGGAACACCAGUGGCGAAGGCGCUCUACUGGGCCGAGACUGACACUGAGAGACGAAAGCUAAGGGAGCGAAAAA
rnacentral:rRNA from 1 species